rnacentral:rRNA from 1 species
GAACGAACGCUGGCGGCAUGCCUAACACAUGCAAGUCGAACGAGACCUUCGGGUCUAGUGGCGCACGGGUGCGUAACGCGUGGGAAUCUGCCCUUGGGUUCGGAAUAACUCAGAGAAAUUUGAGCUAAUACCGGAUGAUGACGAAAGUCCAAAGAUUUAUCGCCCAGGGAUGAGCCCGCGUAAGAUUAGCUUGUUGGUGGGGUAAUGGCCUACCAAGGCGACGAUCUUUAGCUGGUCUGAGAGGAUGAUCAGCCACACUGGGACUGAGACACGGCCCAGACUCCUACGGGAGGCAGCAGUGGGGAAUAUUGGACAAUGGGCGCAAGCCUGAUCCAGCAAUGCCGCGUGAGUGAUGAAGGCCUUAGGGUUGUAAAGCUCUUUUACCAGGGAUGAUAAUGACAGUACCUGGAGAAUAAGCUCCGGCUAACUCCGUG